UCGACGGGCCCUAUCUUCCAUUCCUAAAAUAAAUCCAAACGACCCUCUAAACUAAUUCAUUUCCUAACAACCUGCCACCCUUGAAUCCCUUUUCCCCUCCAAUUCUCUCUGCAACCUCACUCAAACCUUAGCCUCCUCCACCCAAACAAACCCUAAUCCCCUUCGAUCUUCACCCAAUCCAUGGACUCCCGUGGCUGUUUGAGACGUGUAUUUGUCUCCUACGUCUCCUAUUGGCCGGAUUUUAUGAUUUCGUGGAAUGAUCUCAAAGAGAUCUAGUCGAGACCUUGAUCAACUUCUGUCCACGGUCUUUUUCGGCCAUCCAUGGCCGUUUGAGUCUAAUCCAUGGCUUUUCCGACUAAAAACCUGUAAUGAUCUAUUGUUUUCUAAUCCUCUUUGGGAUCUCUGAAACCUUAACUCUUGAGAUCUUUUACUUUUCUUUAAGAUAUGUCUUAGAUUUGAUGUAUCCAUGAGUUUUAACAUAUUUUUCUUCGUCUCUAUUAUUUUCUGAAAAACCAUAGCUAAAAAUCAUCCGAUCUUUUUAGAUUUGUGAUGAAUCUAAGGGUUGCUUAAGGUUUUCACUUGUUUUCCUAAACAUUUUUCCGAUUUCAAACAAUUUGUUCAUUCCCAAACUAGGGUUCGAAAACCCUUUUGCAAAAAAUCAAUUCUUUCCGAUUACUGUGAUUUUAGCAUGUUUAAAUGUUUCCUAAGUCUUUCCGUUUGACUAGAUUCAUUUCUCAAGAAACUCUAAUACUUUAGGGUUUGAUUCAAAGUUUGAAUUAGUUUGUGAUGUUUUUGCAUAACUAUGAUUAACAUUCUAGGCUUCAUGUGUGUUCUAUAUGAUAUUAUGCUUCUUGUUUUCAUUUGUUAUUAAGGUUUCUUUUAUUUUGUCCAAACAUGUGUUGUUUAUAGGUCCGACUAUUUUUUUUCUUUCACUGAUUGAUGCUGAUUCUAUCAAUCUCCUUAAACGCACAUAUUUGAUUUUAUGCAUAUUCCUUGUUAUUCUGCACUGAUUUGUUGAUAUUUCUUCCUAACUUUUGUGAUACUUUCCUUAGCUAGUACUAAGUCACUGUGAUUUUCCGUGCCAUCUAUGAUUGUUUGAACUGAUUUUCAGAAUAAAAUUGUACUCUAACUUGUUUAUGUGUUUUUAAUUAACAUGUACUUUCCUUUUGUUUAAACUAUUUUUUACUUAGACCUCGUUACAUGCUACGUGCUUUUACUAUUCAUAUUAUGGUAAAAUUAAUUUUAUAAAUAAUUCUUUUCUUUAUUUGAUAUAACUUGUACAUGUUUGUACUAUGACACCUUAAUUGAGUGGAGUCUGGGUGUUUAAUUGAUUCUGAUUUGUAUUAUUUGUAUAUAUAUGCCAAGUCAUAACUUAUUACCUUAAUUUCUACCUAUUUUUGUAAAAACUAUACGUAGUCUACAAUCUCUUUUUUAAGCACACAAACAACGAGUUUGGUACACACACAUACACAAUCAAACUCCCCUUUAUUUCUCUACUACUUCUUUGUCUAGCCGAAUGAAAGCCAAGGAUACACUGUAGAACUCUUAUUGCUUUACUUUUUCUACAUUUUUCUUGUUCAACUGGUAUGUUCUUACUUUAGAUUCUGAAAUUCAACUCUAUGUGUUCCCUUGUAAUCCUUGUCCCUUUCUGCACUAACUUAACAGCGCAUGCUAUUCAAUUGUACUUUUUGUUUACUACUUUACUCUGCAUGUAUAAAAUAUUUCCCUCAUUUGUUCAAAUGUAAUCAUCAUGUUCACUUGUUCCUGUUUAUGUCCUCCAACUAGCCUGCCUCUUAAUGUACUUGAUUUAUGACUAAUUAUGUGUUUCUCAUUUGGAUCCUUUAUAUCCACAACCCCUACUUGUCUGUUUGUGACUGCUAAAGAUAUACUACUCUUUGAACUUGUUUUGUGUGUGUUGUUUUUGCUCCUAUCCCCCUUCCCUUUUCAAAAAUGGUUUUCACUAUGCAAUUCUUCUACUAUUUUACGAACUUAUUGAAAAUUUAUAAUUUUCUAAAAAAAUUAAUACAACUCAACUCCUUUGAAUCUAUGUCAAACGUUAUCACCUAUACUCUUAGAAUACUAGGUUCUUCCCCUUCUGUGUGAGCCUUGACAUGGGAUCCUCGAUCUCCCUCUGAACUUACACACAUAAGAGCUUACCCUUCAACAUUGCAUUCACUCUAUUAGUUAUGCAAUCUGGGUGUGAGCACUGCCCAAGACCCCUUGAGGUCCUUAGGGAACUCUAAGAUAUCCAGAUAUGAGAAAGGCUAUGAACGAUAAUGGCAUUUUAGGUAGAUUCUUACAUAUCUCAGAGAAAAAGUCCUAAUCAAUCUUUCUAUAGUUGUAACUUCUUUCAUUUAUGCUUAUGUAAGUCAAUCACAUGGUCUGCAAAUAAUUUGUAAACAAGUAUUGGGGUGGCUAGUGAAAAGGUAUGGGGAAAUAUGCAAGUUAUAAUUUGUUAAGAGUAUAAAACAUGUUAUUAUGUUUAUAUUUCUAAUUGUGCAAUAGAAACCAUGUUAAGGAUGUAUACAUGCAUUAGAAAUCAUGUUCGACUAUGUUUCUUGCUUCAGCACCUCAUUCAUUAUUAUGUGCUUCAUGUCUAUUACUUAGUAAUCCUGGCGCUAAGAUAAUAACAACAUUAGCAAAAAAGAUGUUACUCAUGAAGUUGAAUUUCAAUGAUUCUGCAACUCUUAUGUUCACUUAGAAAUCAUGCUGUAUGAACUCUAUUUCCCACUGCCCUGCCAUUUGCAUGUGCAUAUUAGAAAUCAUGUUCUAGGAUUCUAUUUGUAUAUAGUUUAAAACAUCUAGUUAAUUAUUGAUUCAUGAAAAGGUAGUAAGGUAAUAAUUUCCACAUUGUGAUGAUUCGAAUAAAAUAGGUAACAAUCUCUGCAACUACAAUAGCAUUCUCUUAGUGUAAAAUGAUUUCUAGAAAGUCUUAAUAAUUCGGAAUAACUAGUGCAUAUUGGUUCACGCCUAGGAAUUCCUUAGGUAAUAACCUAAAUAAAACUGGAACUACCUUUGUUUAAUAAUCAAACUAUUAAUGUCGGCAAGAAAACCUGAUUCAGACUUAUUUUCAAAGUCAUGUAAUACAUUUGGUUUUGAUGUUAUCCCUU
rnacentral:lncRNA from 1 species